rnacentral:miRNA from 1 species
GUGGGAGGAUUGCUUGAGCCUGGGAGAUGGAGGCUGCAGUGAGCCGUGUUCAUGCCACUGCACUCCAGCCUGGGCAACAGAGUGAGCCCCUGUCUC